UACGUAGGGGGCGAGCGUUAUCCGGAUUUACUGGGCGUAAAGCGGGCGUAGGUGGCCUGUCAAGUCGGAUGUGAAAUCUCCCGGCUCAACCGGGAGGGUGCAUUCGAAACUGAUGGGCUAGAGUGCAGCAGAGGGAGAUGGAAUUCCCGGUGUAGUGGUGAAAUGCGUAGAUAUCGGGAGGAACACUAGUGGCGAAGGCGGUCUCCUGGGAUGUAACUGACACUGAGGCCCGAAGGCGUGGGUAGCAAACAGG
rnacentral:rRNA from 1 species